CACGUAGGGGACGAGCGUUGUCCGGAUUCAUUGGGCGUAAAGCGCGCGUAGGCGGCUCGGAAAGUCGGGCGUGAAAUGCCGGGGGCUCAACCCCGGGACUGCGUCCGAUACUUCCGAGCUGGAGGUAGGUAGGGGAGAUCGGAAUUCCUGGUGUAGCGGUGAAAUGCGCAGAUAUCAGGAGAACACCGGUGGCGGAAGGCGGACGAUCCUGGCCGUUACUGA
rnacentral:rRNA from 1 species